rnacentral:rRNA from 2 species
AGAGUUUGAUCAUGGCUCAGAUUGAACGCUGGCGGCAGGCCUAACACAUGCAAGUCGAACGGUAACAGGAAGCAGCUUGCUGCUUCGCUGACGAGUGGCGGACGGGUGAGUAAUGUCUGGGAAACUGCCUGAUGGAGGGGGAUAACUACUGGAAACGGUAGCUAAUACCGCAUAAUGUCGCAAGACCAAAGAGGGGGACCUUCGGGCCUCUUACCAUCGGAUGUGCCCAGAUGGGAUUAGCUUGUUGGUGGGGUAACGGCUCACCAAGGCGACGAUCCCUAGCUGGUCUGAGAGGAUGACCAGCCACACUGGAACUGAGACACGGUCCAGACUCCUACGGGAGGCAGCAGUGGGGAAUAUUGCACAAUGGGCGCAAGCCUGAUGCAGCCAUGCCGCGUGUAUGAAGAAGGCCUUCGGGUUGUAAAGUACUUUCAGCGGGGAGGAAGGGAGUAAAGUUAAUACCUUUGCUCAUUGACGUUAUCCGCAGAAGAAGCACCGGCUAACUCCGUGCCAGCAGCCGCGGUAAUACGGAGGGUGCAAGCGUUAAUCGGAAUUACUGGGCGUAAAGCGCACGCAGGCGGUUUGUUAAGUCAGAUGUGAAAUCCCCGGGCUCAACCUGGGAACUGCAUCUGAUACUGGCAAGCUUGAGUCUCGUAGAGGGGGUAGAAUUCCAGGUGUAGCGGUGAAAUGCGUAGAGAUCUGGAGGAAUACCGGUGGCGAAGGCGGCCCCCUGGACGAAGACUGACGCUCAGGUGCGAAAGCGUGGGGAGCAAACAGGAUUAGAUACCCUGGUAGUCCACGCCGUAAACGAUGUCGACUUGGAGGUUGUGCCCUUGAGGCGUGGCUUCCGGAGCUAACGCGUUAAGUCGACCGCCUGGGGAGUACGGCCGCAAGGUUAAAACUCAAAUGAAUUGACGGGGGCCCGCACAAGCGGUGGAGCAUGUGGUUUAAUUCGAUGCAACGCGAAGAACCUUACCUGGUCUUGACAUCCACGGAAGUUUUCAGAGAUGAGAAUGUGCCUUCGGGAACCGUGAGACAGGUGCUGCAUGGCUGUCGUCAGCUCGUGUUGUGAAAUGUUGGGUUAAGUCCCGCAACGAGCGCAACCCUUAUCCUUUGUUGCCAGCGGUCCGGCCGGGAACUCAAAGGAGACUGCCAGUGAUAAACUGGAGGAAGGUGGGGAUGACGUCAAGUCAUCAUGGCCCUUACGACCAGGGCUACACACGUGCUACAAUGGCGCAUACAAAGAGAAGCGACCUCGCGAGAGCAAGCGGACCUCAUAAAGUGCGUCGUAGUCCGGAUUGGAGUCUGCAACUCGACUCCAUGAAGUCGGAAUCGCUAGUAAUCGUGGAUCAGAAUGCCACGGUGAAUACGUUCCCGGGCCUUGUACACACCGCCCGUCACACCAUGGGAGUGGGUUGCAAAAGAAGUAGGUAGCUUAACCUUCGGGAGGGCGCUUACCACUUUGUGAUUCAUGACUGGGGUGAAGUCGUAACAAGGUAACCGUAGGGGAACCUGCGGUUG